rnacentral:rRNA from 2 species
AACUUCUGAAUGUUGACCUCGGAUCAGGUAGGAAUACCCGCUGAACUUAAGCAUAUCAAUAAGCGGAGGAAAAGAAACCAACAGGGAUUGCCCUAGUAACGGCGAGUGAAGCGGCAACAGCUCAAAUUUGAAAUCUGGCUUUCGGGCCCGAGUUGUAAUUUGUAGAGGAUACUUUUGAUGCGGUGCCUUCCGAGUUCCCUGGAACGGGACGCCAUAGAGGGUGAGAGCCCCGUCUGGUUGGAUGCCAAAUCUCUGUAAAGUUCCUUCGACGAGUCGAGUAGUUUGGGAAUGCUGCUCUAAAUGGGAGGUAUAUGUCUUCUAAAGCUAAAUAUUGGCCAGAGACCGAUAGCGCACAAGUAGAGUGAUCGAAAGAUGAAAAGCACUUUGAAAAGAGAGUUAAAAAGUACGUGAAAUUGUUGAAAGGGAAGCGUUUAUGACCAGACUUGGACUUGGUUAAUCAUCUGGGGUUCUCCCCAGUGCACUUUUCCAGUUCAGGCCAGCAUCAGUUUUCGCCGGGGGAUAAAGGCUUCGGGAAUGUAGCUCUCUUCGGGGAGUGUUAUAGCCCGUUGUGUAAUACCCUGGCGGAGACUGAGGUUCGCGCUUCUGCAAGGAUGCUGGCGUAAUGGUCAUCAACGACCCGUCU